rnacentral:rRNA from 1 species
GGUUAAGCGACCAAGCGUACACGGUGGAUGCCCUGGCAGUCAGAGGCGAUGAAGGACGUGCUAAUCUGCGAUAAGCGCCGGUAAGGUGAUAUGAACCGUUAUAACCGGCGAUUUCCGAAUGGGGAAACCCAGUGUGAUUCGUCACACUAUCAUUAACUGAAUCCAUAGGUUAAUGAGGCGAACCGGGGGAACUGAAACAUCUAAGUACCCCGAGGAAAAGAAAUCAACCGAGAUUCCCCCAGUAGCGGCGAGCGAACGGGGAGGAGCCCAGAGCCUGAAUCAGCAUGUGUGUUAGUGGAAGCGUCUGGAAAGGCGCGCGAUACAGGGUGACAGCCCCGUACACAAAAGCGCAUAUGCUGUGAGCUCGAUGAGUAGGGCGGGACACGUGGUAUCCUGUCUGAAUAUGGGGGGGACCAUCCUCCAAGGCUAAAUACUCCUGACUGACCGAUAGUGAACCAGUACCGUGAGGGAAAGGCGAAAAGAACCCCGGCGAGGGGGAGUGAAACAGAACCUGAAACCGUGUACGUACAAGCAGUGGGAGCACAGGUUUACCUGUGUGACUGCGUACCUUUUGUAUAAUGGGUCAGCGACUUAUAUUCUGUAGCAAGGUUAACCGUAUAGGGGAGCCGAAGGGAAACCGAGUCUUAAUUGGGCGUUAAGUUGCAGGGUAUAGACCCGAAACCCGGUGAUCUAGCCAUGGGCAGGUUGAAGGUUGGGUAACACUAACUGGAGGACCGAACCGACUAAUGUUGAAAAAAUUAGCGGAUGACCUGUGGCUGGGGGGUGAAAGGCCAAUCAAACCGGGAGAUAGCUGGUUCUCCCCGAAAGCUAUUUAGGUAGCGCCUCGUGAACUCAUCUCCGGGGGGUAGAGCACUGUUUCGGCUAGGGGGGCCAUCCCGGCUUACCAACCCGAUGCAAACUGCGAAUACCGGAGAAUGUUAUCACGGGAGACACACGGCGGGUGCUAACGUCCGUCGUGAAGAGGGAAACAACCCAGACCGCCAGCUAAGGUCCCAAAGUCAUGGUUAAGUGGGAAACGAUGUGGGAAGGCCCAGACAGCCAGGAUGUUGGCUUAGAAGCAGCCAUCAUUUAAAGAAAGCGUAAUAGCUCACUGGUCGAGUCGGCCUGCGCGGAAGAUGUAACGGGGCUAAACCAUGCACCGAAGCUGCGGCAGCGACGCUUAUGCGUUGUUGGGUAGGGGAGCGUUCUGUAAGCCUGUGAAGGUGGCCUGUGAGGGUUGCUGGAGGUAUCAGAAGUGCGAAUGCUGACAUAAGUAACGAUAAAGCGGGUGAAAAGCCCGCUCGCCGGAAGACCAAGGGUUCCUGUCCAACGUUAAUCGGGGCAGGGGUGAGUCGACCCCUAAGGCGAGGCCGAAAGGCGUAGUCGAUGGGAAACGGGUUAAUAUUCCCGUACUUGGUGUUACUGCGAAGGGGGGACGGAGAAGGCUAUGUUGGCCGGGCGACGGUUGUCCCGGUUUAAGCGUGUAGGUGUGUGUUCCAGGUAAAUCCGGUUCACUUUAACACUGAGGCGUGACGACGAGGCACCACGGUGCUGAAGCAACAAAUGCCCUGCUUCCAGGAAAAGCCUCUAAGCAUCAGGUAACAUCAAAUCGUACCCCAAACCGACACAGGUGGUCAGGUAGAGAAUACCAAGGCGCUUGAGAGAACUCGGGUGAAGGAACUAGGCAAAAUGGUGCCGUAACUUCGGGAGAAGGCACGCUGACACGUAGGUGAAGUGGUUUACCCAUGGAGCUGAAGUCAGUCGAAGAUACCAGCUGGCUGCAACUGUUUAUUAAAAACACAGCACUGUGCAAACACGAAAGUGGACGUAUACGGUGUGACGCCUGCCCGGUGCCGGAAGGUUAAUUGAUGGGGUCAGCGCAAGCGAAGCUCCUGAUCGAAGCCCCGGUAAACGGCGGCCGUAACUAUAACGGUCCUAAGGUAGCGAAAUUCCUUGUCGGGUAAGUUCCGACCUGCACGAAUGGCGUAAUGAUGGCCAGGCUGUCUCCACCCGAGACUCAGUGAAAUUGAACUCGCUGUGAAGAUGCAGUGUACCCGCGGCAAGACGGAAAGACCCCGUGAACCUUUACUAUAGCUUGACACUGAACAUUGAGCCUUGAUGUGUAGGAUAGGUGGGAGGCUUUGAAGCGUGGACGCCAGUCUGCGUGGAGCCAACCUUGAAAUACCACCCUUUAAUGUUUGAUGUUCUAACGUGGACCCGUAAUCCGGGUUGCGGACAGUGUCUGGUGGGUAGUUUGACUGGGGCGGUCUCCUCCUAAAGAGUAACGGAGGAGCACGAAGGUUGGCUAAUCCUGGUCGGACAUCAGGAGGUUAGUGCAAUGGCAUAAGCCAGCUUGACUGCGAGCGUGACGGCGCGAGCAGGUGCGAAAGCAGGUCAUAGUGAUCCGGUGGUUCUGAAUGGAAGGGCCAUCGCUCAACGGAUAAAAGGUACUCCGGGGAUAACAGGCUGAUACCGCCCAAGAGUUCAUAUCGACGGCGGUGUUUGGCACCUCGAUGUCGGCUCAUCACAUCCUGGGGCUGAAGUAGGUCCCAAGGGUAUGGCUGUUCGCCAUUUAAAGUGGUACGCGAGCUGGGUUUAGAACGUCGUGAGACAGUUCGGUCCCUAUCUGCCGUGGGCGCUGGAGAACUGAGGGGGGGCUGCUCCUAGUACGAGAGGACCGGAGUGGACGCAUCACUGGUGUUCGGGUUGUCAUGCCAAUGGCACUGCCCGGUAGCUAAAUGCGGAAGAGAUAAGUGCUGAAAGCAUCUAAGCACGAAACUUGCCCCGAGAUGAGUUCUCCCUGAGACUUUAAGUCUCCUGAAGGAACGUUGAAGACGACGACGUUGAUAGGCCGGGUGUGUAAGCGCAGCGAUGCGUUGAGCUAACCGGUACUAAUGAACCGUGAGGCUUAACCUU